UGGGGAAUAUUGCGCAAUGGGGGAAACCCUGACGCAGCAACGCCGCGUGCGGGAUGAAGGCCUUCGGGUUGUAAACCGCUUUCAGCAGGGAAGACAUCGACGGUACCUGCAGAAGAAGCCCCGGCUAACUACGUGCCAGCAGCCGCGGUAAUACGUAGGGGGCGAGCGUUAUCCGGAAUUAUUGGGCGUAAAGCGCGCGCAGGUGGUUUAGAAAGUCUGAUGUGAAAGCCCACGGCUCAACCGUGGAGGGUCAUUGGAAACUAAUAAACUUGAGUGCAGGAGAGAAAAGUGGAAUUCCUAGUGUAGCGGUGAAAUGCGUAGAGAUUAGGAGGAACACCGGUGGCGAAAGCGGCUUUUUGGCCUGCAACUGACACUGAGGCGCGAAAGCGUGGGGAGCAAACAGG
rnacentral:rRNA from 1 species